GCCGGGUGCGGUGGCGCGUGCCUGUAAUCCAAGCUACCGGGAGGCUGAGGUUGGAGGAUCGUUUGAGCUCAGGAGCUCUGAGCUGCAGCAGGCUAUGUCGAUCGGGUGUCCGCACUAAGUUCGGCAUUGAUAUGGUGAUCCUGGGGAGCCCGGGACCACCAGGUCGUCUAAGGAGGGGUGCACCGGCCCAGGUCGGAGACGGAGCAGGUCAAAGCCCCCGUGUCGCUCAGUAGUGGGAUCGCGCCUGUGAAUAGAUGCUGUAGCGCAGCCUGAGCAAUACAGCGAGACCCAAUCUUUA
ensembl:misc_RNA Metazoa_SRP Metazoan signal recognition particle RNA